rnacentral:rRNA from 1 species
GACGUAGGGCGCGAGCGUUGUCCGGAUUUAUUGGGCGUAAAGAGCUCGUAGGCGGCUUGUCGCGUCGAAUGUGAAAACUCGGGGCUCAACUCCGAGCUUGCAUUCGAUACGGGCAGGCUAGAGUUCGGUAGGGGAGACUGGAAUUCCUGGUGUAGCGGUGAAAUGCGCAGAUAUCAGGAGGAACACCGAGUGGCGAAGGCAGGUCUCUGGGCCACUACUGACGCUGAGAAGCGAAAGCAUGGGGAGCGAACAGGAUUAGAACUACC